GACGAACGCUGGCGGCGUGCUUAACACAUGCAAGUCGAACGGAACGGCCCUGCUUUUGUGCGGUGCUCGAGUUAAGACCGGGUGAGUAACCCGUGAGUAACCUGCCCCUGCCCUUGGGAUAACCUCAUGCCACUGGGGCUAAUACCAGCUAGGAGCUCCUGCUUCUUGGUGGGCGUUGGUAAGUUUAGCCGGUUGGGGGUGGACUCGCCUCCUAUGAGCUUGUUGGGGUGGUAGUCUCUUACCAAGGCCUUGACAGGUAGCCGGGCUGAGAGGAUGACCGGAUACGUUGCAACUGGAAUGCGGCCCAGACUCGAACGGGAGGCAGCAGUGGAGAAGAUUGCACAAUGGGCGGAAGCCUGAUGCAGCAACGCCGCGUGGGGGAUGACAGCCUGCGGGUUGUAAUCCGCAUUCGCUUGUGACGAAGCGAGAGUGACGGUAAUGGAUAAAGAAGCACCGGCUAACUACGUG
rnacentral:rRNA from 1 species